CCCCGUGAAGAGGCGGGGAUAGAACAAUAAGGCGAAAAGACCCUAUGGAGCUUUAAUUUAUUAGUUUACUCUGCCUGCCUCAAACCCACAGGGGCACAAAACAAAUAGACCUAAGCAACUAAUUUUGAUUGAGGUGACCUUGGAGAAUAGUAAAAUCUUCGAAUGAUAUUAACCUAGACACCACAAGCCAAAGUUCCUAUCACUAAUUGACCUAAGCUCUUUGAUCAAUGUAUCAAGUUACCCUAGGGAUACCAGCACAAUCCUAUUUUAGAGUCCACAUCGACAAUAGGAUUUAAGACCUCGAUGUUGGAUCAGGACAUCCUAAUGUUGCAGCCACUAGUAAGGGUUCAUUUAUUCAAUGAUUAAUAGUCCUACAUGAUCUGAGUUCAGACCGGAGCAUCCAGGUCAGUUUCUAUCUAUU
rnacentral:ncRNA from 1 species